rnacentral:rRNA from 1 species
GCUUAACACAUGCAAGUCGAGCGAGAAUCGUUUUGCUGAAGGCUUCGGUCUGACGCAGAAUGAGGAAAGCGGCGAACGGGUGAGUAACGCGUGGGCAACCUGGCCUUAAGAAAAGGAUAGCCCCCGGAAACGGGGAGUAAUACUUUAUGAGAAUGAAAGAGGGCAUCCUGUUUCUAUUCAAAGCGCAAGCGCUUAAGGAUGGGCCCGCGUAUCAUUAGCUAGUUGGUGAGAUAACAGCCCACCAAGGCAACGAUGAUUAGCCGGUCUGAGAGGGCGAACGGCCACAUUGGAACUGAGAGACGGUCCAAACUCCUACGGGAGGCAGCAGUGGGGAAUAUUGCGCAAUGGAGAAGAACUCUGACGCAGCAAUACCGCGUGAGCGAAGAAGGUCUUCGGAUCGUAAAGCUCUGUUAUCAGGGAAGAAGAAAAUGACGGUACCUGAUGAGCAAGUCCCGGCUAACUACGUGCCAGCCGCCGCAGUAAGAC